GAACCUUCAGAUUUCAGAUUUGAUUAGGGUUUUAGCGUCUUCGGACCAGGCUUCAUUCCCCCCAAUUGUUGCUCCCUGUUUACUCCAUAUUUCUUCCUUCUUUUCAAAUUAGGGUUUCAGAUCCAGUGAAUGAACCCUUGUUAAAGGUUUGAUUUCUUACCUUACUUACUCAGAUUCAUUUACCUGCGUUAUUGAUUGUUUGCAUGGAAAGAAAUAGUUUUCUUUUUUAAAUAGGUCUUUGGGGACCGAUAGAAAAAAAAAGUUUUCAGGUAUUUGCAGAUUGGUGUAAUGAUGAAAGAAUCUGACUUUCUUUCUCCUCUUGGAAUUUGAAAAGUUUCAUCAUGACAAACUUUUUAU
rnacentral:precursor_RNA from 1 species